rnacentral:rRNA from 1 species
AUUGAACGCUGGCGGCAUGCCUUACACAUGCAAGUCGAACGGCAGCACGGGAGCAAUCCUGGUGGCGAGUGGCGAACGGGUGAGUAAUAUAUCGGAACGUGCCCAGUAGUGGGGGAUAGCCCGGCGAAAGCCGGAUUAAUACCGCAUACGACCUGUGGGUGAAAGCGGGGGAUCGCAAGACCUCGCGCUAUUGGAGCGGCCGAUAUCAGAUUAGCUUGUUGGUGGGGUAAAAAGCCCACCAAGGCGACGAUCUGUAGCUGGUCUGAGAGGACGACCAGCCACACUGGGACUGAGACACGGCCCAGACUCCUACGGGAGGCAGCAGUGGGGAAUUUUGGACAAUGGGCGCAAGCCUGAUCCAGCCAUGCCGCGUGUGGGAAGAAGGCCUUCGGUU